ACAGCAGUAAUCUGUGGUGAAAUUCAAACCUACCCAAUUUUGACUCUUACAUAAAAACUGUAGGGAAGUAUAGCCAACCGCAUCCAGGCAUUUUGUUUUAAUUGUUCCCGGAAUUGGAUUUCGCAGAUGGGCGCUGAGGGAUUUUGGACCCAAUUUAAAGAGACAAAUUGUUUGAGCAAGUUUGCUUAAUGUGUUGUCUUCCAUCCCAGUAAUGAGUCCCGGAUGCAUCAUUAACACACGCCUCCUUUCUUCAUCGCGGCCUUGUUAAAUUGCCCACGUUUGGUUCCUUUGAGCAGUAUACACUGCCAUCUACUGGUUGACCGGCGAAGCUCUCUCGAAUGGACCGUCUCAAAAGGGUGCGAAAUGCGAAUCUUAUUUUCGCCAUAUUGUCUCCAUGGAUAAAAGCAUAAAAUCCCCAUUCAUCAAGGUGGAUUUAUUUUGUUUAUCCGUUUAUAGGGCACUCGUUGGAAUACAUAUGAACCCCUUGAAAUUGGUAGUCAAGUGUUGGUUGUUAGUGUUAUUGUAGUCCAUCACAGUACUGAAUCACUGUUUUUACAGUAUUUUUAUACCAUCUAAUAAAUGUACCUUUUUCAUCAGGAUUACUUUUCUUGUUACUCAUGUAGUGUGUGUGUGUGUGUGUGUGUGUGUGUUGUCAAAUUCCACUCUUUGGCGAUUGUGACUGCUAUAAAAGAUUGCAGCAAGAAAAAUACUUUGUAGUUUUAAGACAAGUUGGUGCAAGUAUUAACUACUGUGUCCUGCUUAUAUAA